UUGAGAGGUUUAGGGUUUCGAUUUAGUGGUUUUUAUUUGGGCCACUAGGAAUUGGGGGGUUUUAGCUUCAGAACGGUGGUAUGUAUUGAUUUUUAGUUGGUUCUGUGGAAUUUGAGAGGUUUGGGGUUCUGAUUUAGGGUUUUUAUUUGGGGGUUUUAGCUACUGGAUAUUCCACUAGGAAUUGGGGAUUUUAGCUUUAGAACAAUCCACCUGAAUCGCAUUUUCCUACAGGAUCAACGGCAAGCAAUAGGCUUUCAUUUUUUCUCGGUGUCAUCUAAUCGGAAAAGAGGAGAAACUAUUAGAUAUUGCUCCGAGACUUAAAGCUACUAUCAAGUAUGCAAGGACUUUAGUUGACCUGUAUUACUCAAUAGGAAGUUUGGUCCUUAUAAAGGACUAGGCUUCUAAUGUUGGUGUGCUUCUUGCCGAUACUGAUGG